UCUCCGUAGGUGAACCUGCGGAGGGAUCAUUACUGAGUGAGGGCUCACGCCCGACCUCCAACCCUUUGUGAACACAUCUUGUUGCUUCGGGGGCGACCCUGCCGUUCGGCGCGGCGCCCCCGGAGGCUCAUCAAACACUGCAUCUCUGCGUCGGAGUUUAAAACAAAUUAAACAAAACUUUCAACAACGGAUCUCUUGGUUCCAGCAUCGAUGAAGAACGCAGC
rnacentral:misc_RNA from 1 species